rnacentral:rRNA from 1 species
UACGGAGGGUGCAAGCGUUAUCCGGAUUCACUGGGUUUAAAGGGUGCGUAGGCGGAUUCUUAAGUCCGUGGUGAAAUCUCCAAGCUUAACUUGGAAACUGCCAUGGAUACUAUUAGUCUUGAAUGUUGUGGAGGUUAGCGGAAUAUGUCAUGUAGCGGUGAAAUGCAUAGAUAUGACAUAGAACACCAAUUGUGAAGGCAGCUGGCUACACAAAUAUUGACGCUGAGGCACGAAAGCGUGGGGAUCAAACAGG